rnacentral:lncRNA from 1 species
UCCAGCCUGAAUCUUCCCUGGCGCAGCUUGAAGCCGUUCCCUCUAGUGCUAGGGUGGUACGCACAAGCUUGAAGGUGUUUGUCAGUUGUGAUACAAAUAUUGUAUAUCUGACACUAUCAGCCUUAACAAGAAAUGAGUAAGGAUGGCCUCAAUGUAAUUCCACCCUUUUCCAGGCAAAUACAUCCUAUGAAUAAAUAAAGAUACUUUACAUGGGCUUCCCAGCUGAAACUUUUUUCUUCCUUGGCUUAAAUCAUCACACUGUAACUGUAUAUGAGAUAUAGUUUAUCUGAGCUCCUACUAUUUUUUCAUAAUUAAGGCAGUAGUUCAGUAAAUCUUUUUAACUCUAACACCACAUUUAAAUCCUGAACUUAAUCAGAGCCUUAGGCAGGGGAUUAACGUAGGUAUGGAAAUUAUCUUUAUGGGAGAUCAGACCAGGAUGAAAAGUCUAUAGGAAGUCUAUGGUUUUGUCUGUGCAAAGAAAGCCACAUUCUCCCUGCCUGCUACCCCUGUCCUCAAAUGAGCCGUGCAGAGAGACAGAAGAAGGGAUUGAUGGCACCUCUUAAAUUUGACAUUUUAUCUGUAAGGUGGGGAGAAUUAGAACAGAGGAAGUAGCAUUUCACUCUGUAAAUUGAAGAAAUAUAAGACUGAUAUUAAUCCCACCCUUGACUCUCCAAGAAUCAGGUGAUAUAUAUAAAUAGAAUGUCAGUAAAAAUCCUUCUGCUCAAUACUAACCUUGGAAGUAACAUGAAAUUAAGCCUGUCUGCUCUGUCUCGCUCUGCUUUAUAGAGCUC